rnacentral:rRNA from 1 species
UAAUACGUAGGGUGCGAGCGUUAAUCGGAAUUACUGGGCGUAAAGGGUGCGCAGGCGGCUUCGCAAGUCAGGCGUGAAAUCCCCGAGCUUAACUUGGGAAUUGCGUUUGAAACUACGAAGCUGGAGUGUGGCAGAGGGAGGUGGAAUUCCACGUGUAGCGGUGAAAUGCGUAGAUAUGUGGAGGAACACCGAUGGCGAAGGCAGCCUCCUGGGCCAACACUGACGCUCAUGCACGAAAGCGUGGGGAGCAAACAGGAUUAGAUACCCUGGUAGUCCACGCCCUAAACUAUGUCUACUAGUUGUUGGGGGAGUUAAAUCCCUUAGUAACGCAGCUAACGCGAGAAGUAGACCGCCUGGGGAGUACGGUCGCAAGAUUA